UUUCUACUUACUAAAGCUCUGAGAGGGAUAGCUUGGCUUGGAUGGUUAAGAAGGACGUGGCAAGCUGCGAUAAGCCUGGGUGAGCCGCAUGCAGGCAUUGAACCCAGGAUCUCCGAAUGCGAAAACGUGCGCGUAAGCGCGUGCCGAGAGGCAUAUGCACGCCGGGAAUUGAAACAUCUUAGUACCGGCAGGAAAAGAAAACAAUUGUGAUUCCCCCAUUAGCAGCGAGCGAAAAGGGAAUAGGGCAAACUGAAUCUCUGUCUGAAAAGGCGUGAGAGAUGUGGUGGAAGCUAAGGCUAAGUCAUUGAGCCGAAGUCUGCUGGAAUGCAGCACACUAGAGGGUGAUAGUCCCGUAGGCGAAGAUGAUAUGCUGUGCUCCGAACGAGUAGGGCUCCCUAGAUCGGAAGUCCGAACAUGGCGGGAUUAACCGCUAACCCUAAAUAUUAGUCCAAGUCCGAUAGCAAACAAGUACCGCGAGGGAAAGCUGAAAAGCACUCUUAAACGAGGGUGAAAAGACUUGAAAUCUCAGAGUUACAGCUGGUUACGGCAUUAAGGUGUUGUAACGUGCGUGUUGAAAAAUGAGCCAAGGAGUUCACGCUGGUGGCAAGGUUAAAUAAGAAGCCGAAGCGAAAGCGAGUCUGAAAAGGCGUUAGUCACCGGCGGGAGACACGAAGCCAGAUGAUCUACUUGUGA
rnacentral:rRNA from 1 species